rnacentral:ncRNA from 1 species
AUCGUGAGGUGUAGGCGAGAAGAAGGGAUAGCGAAAUCGUAGCCUAACGAACAGGAACUUGAUACCAAGGCGCAUGCGGAGGAUGAGUGGGCCGAAAGUCACAAAGUCCAAAAAGGCAACCGUAAUCCGCAUGUGUAAAUCAAGUGGGUAGACGAGGAAAGAC